UGUCUUCCAGAUUGACCCAAACACUAAGAAGAACUGGGUUCCCACCAGCAAGCAUGCUGUUACUGUGUCCUACUUCUAUGACAGCACAAGAAAUGUCUACAGGAUAAUCAGUUUGGAUGGCUCAAAGCAUUUCCUUUGCACUUGCAGUACUAUUGGAAAGGUAUAUUGAUAAUGCAAUGCUGAUGCCACUAUUGCUGCUGCCAACUGUGAUGCUGCUACCACCACAGCUGCUGAUGCCACCACAAGUGCUGCUACAAAACCAGCUGCUUCUACAAGUGCUGCUACAAAAACAACUGCUUAUACAAAGAUAAAGUCUACUCCCAUUCAAAUCAAACUAGUUAAUCCUGUGAUCGGGAGCAAAUCAAAGGCAAAAUGCUCCUCUCUUUUUACCUGCUCCUGUCUGAGACACAGAGAGUUACUUCAAGCAACAACAGAGACCAAAACUGAGGAAGCAGGUGAUUCUAAAUGAGAUGAUGGAGGAGGUACCUCUCAAACAGAUAAAAAAUCAGGCCCUUCUCAAGCAGAUAAAACAGCAGGCCCUCCUCAAUCAGAUGAUGACAAUAACAUUGUCCAGCCUUUCUCUAUGAAGGAACUGUGCCACAUGAGAAAGGACUUCACCCGCACUGACGAUGAGGGAAUUCUUCCUUGGUUGCUCUGAUGCUUUGAUAGUGGGGCUGAAACCUUUGACGUGGACGAGAAAGAAGCCAAGCAGUUGGGAUCCCUGGCCAGAGAUGCUGGUUAUUGACAGAGCACUUAGUAGUAAGAUGGGAACUACCACCCUGUGGGACUGACUUCUUUCAGCUGUGAGGGAGAGAUACCCCCACAAGAGUGACAUCGAAUGGCGCUGAAGCAGAACAUCCACUCUUGAGAAAGCCAUCAGGUAUUUGAGAGAAAUAGCUGUGCGAGAGCUGAUCUAUGAUAACGAUGGACUUACAAAUCCUGAUGAAGUUCUGUGCGACACACAAAUGUUCCAGAGGUUUGCGCAGGCUGUACCAGCAGCACAU